GUACGGGGACUGGGAACAGUGAGCAUGGUUUUUGCAGCCUCUCCAGACAGUCUUUUCCUGGGUACUGCCAUGAUCAGCUCCAAAGGCUACACGACAGAGGCUGCUGUCCGUCAGGCCAGGAUCAAGCCUGAAGACACGAUCAAUCCUUCAAGAUAAGAGAAUUUUAUCGUGGAAGCAGAGCGAGUGGCAUCUCCCCACUGCACCAGAAAGGCUUCUGGAGUUCACGCACUGCCCUUGGCUCCUCCAGUUGCUAUCAAGUUGAUUUACUUCUGCAUGGAGCAUCUUAGGACCUAAGAAUAGCAAUGAUGAAACCCAGAAAGAAAAGGCAGACUCACAGCAGAGGAAAUUUGGACACAGACACACACAGAGGGAAAAUGAUGUGAAGACACAGGGAGAAGGUGGCCAUCUACAAGCUGAGGAGAGAGGCCUCAGAGAAAACCAACCCUGCCGGCACCUUGAUCUCAGACUUCCAGCCUCCAUUAAUUAAUUUUCUCUCUCUCCAGUGAGAAAAUUGAUUUCUAUUGUGGAAAUUCAUUACCACAGUCUGUGGUACUUUGAGUUAGGGCAGCCCUGGCAAACUAACAUAUCAGUAAAUAAAAAUUUGUUGAAGAAGGAACUCUGUCACACCGGCCUUCUAAAAGGCCUUUAGAAUGUCUUCUUACAAUUGAUAGUGUCUGACCUCAUUAACCUUCUCAUCAACGUCUUCUACAACCUGUCUUCAACCUACUUUUCCAUGUUCCUCUCCCAGGACACAAACCAUCUACACCAGCCACACACCAGACUCUUUACAGACCUCAAUUCAUCCUCUGAUUUGCUGUCUCCAAGGCUUUCUUCAAGAUGUGGCCCCACCUGGAACGGUCACUUCUCCUUCCAAACCCCAAAAACACUUUUGUGCUUGUUAUUUGAUAAUCAUGAUUUGCAAUAUUCUAUUCGUAUUGUUUAUGAGCUUUUCAUGUGCAAGUAUUUCUUCUCUGUAAUGUAAACUUCCUAAUAACAAAAACUACAUUUGAUGCUUCUCUCUGCUCUUCACAGCAUGGAACACACUGUCUGGCUCAACUAAUAUUUGUUGCCUAAAGCAGGCACCAUGAGAAGGAAAAGUAAAUCGCUGCAGCCUGAGAAAAUGUGGUACCCUCAACUGGGUAAAACCAUCGUAGGCAACAUGGCUCAUGGUGCAAGGUUCUUAAAAAGAAGAAACAACAUUGCUUGCUUCAGCAGCACAUAUACUAAAAUUGGAACAAUACAGAGAAGGUUGGCAUGGCCCCUGAGCAAGGAUGACAUGCAAAUUCAUGAAACGUUACAUAGGUUUUUACUAUAGGUAACAAUACAUUAUAUAGUUUCAACUAGCUAGGGGGAGGAUAUUGAAUGUUUCCAAUCCAAAGAAAUGAUCAGUGUUUGAGAGGAUGGAUAUGCUCGCUCAUUACCCUGACCUGAUCACCAUACAUUAAAUGUAUCAAAACAUCACUGUCCACCCAUGAAUAUGUACAAUUAUUUUUUGUCAAUUUUAAAAAAUAAGACACAACAAACUAUAUGCAGCAUAAUCCACAGAAACAAUAAGAGCUCCAAGACUGAUAUGAAGGAAAGGAAGAGCUCCUUGUUUAUCUUGAAACAUAUGAAU
ensembl:lncRNA novel transcript, antisense to TEKT3